AAAGAGAGAAAAGAAAAGAGACUAGAUGAAAAAAAAAAGAAAAAAAAAUACAGAAAAAUGAGAAAAAAAUUAAAAAAAAAAUUGUGUGAAUAAUGGAGUCACGAAGAGGAUUGAAUUAGAGGUUUUGGGUGUGUUUGAAUGUGUUUACACUUGUUCCUCAUUGCUCCUCUAUUUCUUUUGGUUUGUAGCUUCUCAUCCAUAUUUAUCCUCCCUUGUCCUUGGCCCCAUUGCAUCCAUAAAAGACCUUUUGAUUUGAACAUGCAUAUGUUUUUGAGUGUUGAUAUUAGAGGCUUGCCAAGUCUAUUUGUGUUUGUUUUCUUGAGUGCAUUGAGUUGAAACUGUUUACCCUAGAUACUUGAGAGAAACACUGAUAGUGUGCACCUGUGAGGUUCUGUUGCUUUUGAUUCACCUC
rnacentral:lncRNA from 1 species